rnacentral:rRNA from 1 species
GACGAACGCUGGCGGCGUGCUUAACACAUGCAAGUCGAACGGAAAGGCCCUGCUUUUGUGGGGUGCUCGAUUGGCGAACGGGUGAGUAACACGUGUGUAACCUGCCCUUGACUUUGGGAUAACUUCAGGAAACUGGGGCUAAUACCGGAUAGGAGCUCCUGCUGCAUGGUGGGGGUGGGAAAGUUUCGGCGGUUGGGGAUGGACUCGCGGCUUACCAGCUUGUUGGUGGGGUAGUGGCUUACCAAGGCUGUGACGGGUAGCCGGCCUGAGAGGGUGACCGGCCACAUUGGGACUGAGAGACGGCCCAGACUCCUACGUGAGGCAGCAGUGGGGAAUAUUGCACAGUGGGCGGGAGCCUGAUGCAGCGACGCCGCGUGCGGGAUGACGGCCUUCGGGUUGUGAACCGCUUUCGCCUGUGACGAAGCGUGAGUGACGGUAAUGGGUAAAGAAGCACCGGCUAACUACGUG